rnacentral:rRNA from 1 species
UGCGANUGGGCGAAGCCUGACGCAGCGACGCCGUGUGGGUGAUGAAGGCCUUCGGGUUGUAAAGCCCUGUGGGGAGAGACGAAUUAGUAGGGGUUAAUACCCCCUAUGAUGACGGUAUCUCCUUAGCAAGCACCGGCUAACUCUGUGCCAGCAGCCGCGGUAAGACAGAGGGUGCAAACGUUGUUCGGAAUUACUGGGCGUAAAGCGUGUGUAGGCGGCUACGUAAGUCGGAUGUGAAAGCCCUGGGCUCAACCCAGGAAGUGCACCCGAUACUGCAUAGCUUGAGAAUCGGAGAGGUUGGUGGAAUUCUCGGUGUAGAGGUGAAAUUCGUAGAUAUCGAGAGGAACAUCGGUGGCGAAGGCGGCCAACUGGACGAAUUCUGACGCUGAGACAUGAAAGCGUGGGGAGCAAACAGGAUUAGAUACCCUGGUAGUCCACGCCGUAAACGAUGGGUGCUAGGUGUCACGGGCAUUGACUCCCGUGGUGCCGUAGCUAACGCAUUAAGCACCCCGCCUGGGAAGUACGGCCGCAAGGCUAAAACUCAAAAGAAUUGACGGA